AUGGGCGUGGAAGACGGUUUUGGAUCCUGUGAGCCGCCGCCGCUGCCGCACAGAAAGUCAACGCCGGCCUUCUGCUGCUCCAUGUCCAACAAGUCGCCCACGAGGCAUCAGUGUGGCAUUGCUAGCUCCAGCUUCCCCCUGCAAUCGUCUCUGCCGCCGGCACUUGCACGCAAUCGUGCUGGUUUCUGUAGUUCAAGAUCAAAGGAAAGAAUCAGCCAAAUAUGA
rnacentral:rRNA from 1 species